rnacentral:lncRNA from 13 species
UGACAGUUAAAACAUGGACUCUUCUUCCAAUGCAAGAUCAAGCAUGAUUAGUUAUGUAUUAAACAAUGUAAAAUCCUAAGAGGGAUAAAACUUAGUUGGUUACUGAGACCAGGUUCCAAUAUCUUUUCAGUCCCAACAAAGUAAUUGCCAGGAAAUUCCUUGCAAUCUUAAUUCUGUAGCCUAGACAAGCAACAAAGCAGCUGUCUGUACCUUAGGACUUUGGAAAUUCUACGUAGUAUUACAGAACCUACCAAUCAAAGCAAAGAGACAGAUCAGGGAAAAGAGUCAAUCACAAACAUGUUUUGUGCAACUAACUAGAAAGAAAAUAAGGUUCUCAAGAGGCACCACUAAGAGAAGAACUGUUGCGAAGAAUCUUCUUGGUCAUCCAUCUGUGCCCAAGCAACCACAGGGAAGAGGGACCAGUGAGAAGACGCCAAACAGCUGUCUGCAAACAAGAAAAGAAAAGAAGCCACCAGAAUUUGGAAGACUCUGAGCCCCAAACUUACAUGAAGCAACUGCAUUUAAGUACAGCAAGGGGAGGACUAAGAUGGAUGCUAUGAGAUGCCCACCACAUCCCCCAGCACUGAGGCUCCCAUACUUCCCUUGCCAGUUUAAGUACUGGGACUCACAGCUGGAGUUGAGAGCCUUUCUCCCCCUGACAUCUCCAGGUGGUGGUGAGACAUCAUCAAAUCCUAAGAAACAGUGCACUUGAAGGUUUUUCACUCACUGCAUCAAAGAGGAGAAAAAUAUUUCUCUCCACUGCCUAAAGGUAUGUUCUUUCUUUGUCUCGUCAACCUCUUCUCUUACAGGCUGGCGAUCCGUUAUGAAAGAUGCUGGGAGGAUGAGUUCUAUCACAUCCUGAUGUGGUAGCUCAGCUCUCCCCCUUAGGCUGGUAGAGUUCUUAGAACAUUAUAUAUUUGUCAACAACUGAGGCCGUGGCCCAAAAGGAGAUUUAAAAAAUCCCUCAUUAACAUCCCAUUAUAAUUAUUAUUAACAGUAAUUACAUGUAAGGGCAAAUGCCACUCGUUAUUUACUUGGAAAAUUAAUUAUGUAAAAAAUUGUUAGCAAAUAAUUUCCCCAUAUGGUUUUUUGUACUGGAUGUAUAAUACAAUGUAGAUUGAAAGUGAAUUAUUUCUUGUAACAUAAAGACUAGAUAAAAAUCUGUAGAUUGAAAGUGAAUUAUUUCUUAUAAAGAGUG